ACUUGGCAGUAUCUUAAACAGAAGGAGGCAGCAGGUUGGAGAGAAGGAGGAGCUCUCCUGAAAACUGUAAUCACAAUUAUGUGAGCACCUACUAUGUGCUAGACCCUAUUCAAAGGCAGAGGAAACUGACCCAUGGGAUGGAUACGCUGUAAAGAAUUCCAACACCAGCCCUGCAAGGUUCUGCUUGAAUUCUUGCCCUGGCUCUUGGUGAAGGAUCGGCCUGCUGGAUCUGAGUCAUCCACCUAUAAGAGGGACAACACCACACAUUGGUCGCUGCUCUCAAGCCCCUGGAAUACCACCCCACUUGGCUUCUCCUGGUAACAGUGGCUGCCUUUGCUUGCCUGUCUCCAACUCCUCCCAAGAGCAUUGCUGACUAUACCACCCACAUAAACAAAAACUUUUUGGGAGUCCUCCAGAAUUUUUAAGAGUUAUCUAAACUAUUGCCUUUAAUGACCAGGAACUCCAAUUUGAGAAGUUACCCUACGUUAAGCCAACAGCAGCCUGGCUCCUUCAUCCUGUGCAGUAUGGGACAGAGCUGGGUCCUUGUUGUCAUCAGCCAGACAAGCACACAUUAAAGCCCACCUUAGCCAUUGGCAUUACAGCUUUAAAAGCAGCUCCAUCCUACCAUGCUGUCACUCUACUCAAUCACGUGAUCUUAACGACCAGCUCUACAUAUCCUCUCUCCAUGCCCCCACCACCAUCCCCCACCAACAAAUCCGGUAAUCUAUCUCUGUCAAUAGUCCUGCAGUGAAUUCCGAAUAAGUUUUUCUCUUCCCUGGCCUGCCGUUUACGUAGUACCCUGGAUGAAUCUAUACUUACUCCAUAGUAAGUAGUACCUUGGAUGAAUCUAUACUUGCAUCCAAUGGAAAUGAGAGUGAUGGUGCAGAGUUAUCCGAAGUAACUCCAGCUAUGUUGUGGAUCUUCUAAUCAUGGGCUCAUCUAAGCCUUCCCAGAUAUCACUCUAGUUUUUACAAUCUUUGUUUAUGACAAUUAGGGCUGUAACAUUGGCUGUAGACAUUUGUUGCAUCAAGGAACUCAGCUUCCACUGAAGUUCUGAAGUUAAUCAGUUUCUGAUCUUGUUCUGCAACUCUCUGCAAGAAGAAAAAUCACCAGGAAAUAGUGCAUCCUGAAAGGAGUCAAAGUUUCCUUAUCCAGCUGGAGCAGUGUGAUCUCGGACCAGAGUCAAUUCCUUGCCCAACAGACUUCACAUUGAGCCAUGAGAAGCAGCCUACUUACCCUUACCUGGACACUUCUCCAAAACCUGUGAAAUGGCCUCUGUCACUGCCUCAAAGCCUCAUCCUUGGUGGGCAACUCACCUGGAUCCUGAGACCAAAAUAUAGAGCUUAAUGAACUGCUCCUCUGCUGUAAACCUACUAUCUUUUCACACUAAGAUGUAGAUAUUCUCGCCUUGCUCUACCCAGUGGUGAGCAAGGAUGUUAAUCUAGUUCUUACUUCCCCUGAGAGCCUCUUGCAACUUCACUGUUAAUAGAAAUCACUCUUUUAUGCUUGCAAAGCAUAUCCUUAUCCUUUGGUAUAAGGAAUUUAUACAAAGAUGCACAGGACUGGUGGGGUAACAAGAAAAGCCAUUUCCCUAACUGCCUGCUUAAUCUGGAUCCAAGUGCUGCUAAGACAAAGAAGUACAACAAAUUUAAUAGGAAACCAGAACAAAACCCUAAAACGAACGCUCAAGGUUGUUUGGGUUACAACCUCAGCUUGAGAGAUCUGCUCUGGCAUUUAUACUUCCUAAAAUAGAGAAUUUGAGUGAAUGAGGUGGCCACCAUCCAAAUGAAGUGCCUCAACUGGGAAGAGAUUCAUGCCAACCUGCUAGGGCAUGGUGUUUAGCCUUUCUUAUAUUUAGUCAAUUCAUGGGCUCAUCAUUUGGGGUGAGGUCAUCAGGAUGGUGCCACUCAAUUCACUUGGCAAGAGCCACAGCAACUGAUGUAGGAAGAAGCCUGUUGGAGUUUCUUUUACUAAAGGGCACCUGGGGGCCAAGGAUACAUGGAGUCUUCAUGAAUUAAUGAAUGAAGCCCCUCAACUGGCUCAGUAUAAUUAUUCUCAGGGGACAUCUUUAUAUUCUCUUACAGUUAAAGUCCUGGUGGGGCUAGCUUUUCAAAAUAAUGACUCCAAUUUUGAGGCAGUUCAGAGAAUUUAGUGGAUUGAUUUUUCAAUAUCUCUGUCUGUUACUGAUUAAUUUGUUGAGAGUGAAUGUAGGCAUCAGCUCUAAUUUCCUUGAACAGCUUUUAUAAGUGACUUACAUGUAUAAAGGGCAUCCUCCAAAACCAUUUUAAUUUUUAAAGAUGCCAAACAAUUUGAUAAUUAAGUUCUAUAAAUGUGGACUAGUAUUUCCCAAACUGUGCCCUCUAGGAAAUGCUUCUAGGAGAUGUUAAUAGGUACACAACAAAAAUAAGUGAAUGAAAGAAAAAUUUUCAAUCCAUUGUCAGAAAACUUUGGAAAGAAUUUGUUUACUAUAGGGGACUCUUCUUGGAGAUUUACUCUCCAAUUAGUAUAUUUAAAGACCUGAGAAGUUCCAUUGUAAAGAAAUUUGCUUUUAAUUAACCAAGCAUUUCCCAAAUUUACCUUAACACAGACAAUUUUUAAAUUUUUCCUUAUGCUUCCCCAGAUCCUAAUUUUAGGACAUAUUGAUCUAUGUAAAUUUUAAGUCAAAUGUAUAAUUUUGAAACAUGUGUAGAACUUAAAUGGAACAGGAUAGGGAAUAAGACUUACUUUAAAUCAAGUCCUCAGGAAAAACAAUUCGAGAUAAAAAACUUGUGUGGGGAAGUUUACUGGGUGGUGUUCUCAGGUUCAAUUCCUGCAAGGAAGUAAAGACAUAGCACUGGGCCGAGGGAGAAUUUGAACUGUGUUCUAGCCACAACAAAGUUCUCAUUCUGUCAUAGGGGAUCACCGAAGCCGGAAUGGGCUUUUACAUUUGUCCUGCCUUGAGGCAGCGGGGCUGGGCAUUCAUAACCCUCCUUACCAGGUUGCUUCCAGGAAGAGGUCAUGAUCCUGGGGUGGAUCAAGAACUGCUAUCUUGGGUUGAGGGUAAUUCUUGAAGAAGGAUUCAGCCAGAGUCCCCAUGUCUUAGAGAGGCCAUCAACAAUUCGGAGAUUUAGUGCCUCAUCCCUAAAGAGGGCACUGGAGGGGCUCCAUGGCAGCCUCUACUUUGUGCCACUUGGAUCCAUUUGCUUUGUAGAUUAAGUUCUGAGAACAUUUCCUCCAGGAUCUCGGUUGGUCAUUUCUCUUGGAGAAACUUACAAGAAAAAGGAAAUGGAGGAACUACAGCCUCACCACAUGCAGCUCAUAUAGAGGUUGCAAAUGACAUUCAUCAGCUCCUCCUCAAGUACCAUUCCAGAUCCCCUUGUCCACGGGUGGUAACUUUGUUGGUCCAUGUGGCUGGCCUGAUGUAGUGACCAGACUUUGAUCUCUGAGGGGCCUGAGCUUCAUAGCCACGACUGCUGCACUUCCAUUCAUUACCAAAAUUGCUCCCAUUGGGUAACGGCAGCUCUAUCUCCUCCUUAUAAUAGAGCCGGGAGGCUGGCUCCUCUCCUUGCUUACUGUUGGCACAAGGAGUCAAACGUGACCACUGACAGCCAUAGCUAACAUUUAAUGGGAGCCCUCCUGGGUUUCCUGGUGGAAGCAUUUUUUUUUGGUCUGAAAACCAGAACCUCUAAACCCAUAAAGUUGGGAGUUAUAGAAAUGGGAAACACAAAUUUCACAAGUGUGUCAGUAGUACUGAUGGGAAGUGGGGCAACUCCUAAUCGUCUCCCUUGGUUUCUGGAUUUACCUAUUGAGAACACAGAACCAUGAAAAGGCAGUUGAUUUAGAGCAGUAGCUUUCAAACUUUUGGUCUCAGGACCCCUUUACACUGUUAAAAUUAUUUUAAACAGAAGCCCAAAGCUCAUUGAGGGUGAUAACUACCAAUACUUACUGAAUUAGAAAUUAAAACUGAGGAAACUUUAAAAUACUUCAACUCAUUUGAAGAUAGGGUGGAACACACUGCAUGUUAACAGAUAUAACACCUUCAUAUAAUUAUUAUGAAGUUAGUUUUGACCUCAUGGAACCCUGGAAUCUCUCCUAAAGUGUCAGAUUGUCCCAGAAUAGGAAGGAGCAUAGUGAAGGACACUUGGCAGGUGAAUUUUACUUGCCUUGGUUUGUAAUACCUGAUUCUUAAAAGAAGCUAUGAAAUGUGUUGACGUUGUAGUGAAGUCUGGUCUACUUUAGUGGAAGUGCUUCCUUGAUUUACUCAUUAAUUCCUUUGCCAACAAAAUGAAAUGUUAUUCCUCACUUUCUGUGUAAUCUGCCUAAUAGCAAAGCUUCUUUAUGUUAGCUUUGUUACAUCCUUGAUUAUUCAAGAAAAAAGUAUCAAGUUAUAAAAGAACUUACAUAUUCUUUACAAUCAUGUUACUAUCUACAUUUAAAAAAAUGCUAUUUUGAUUAAAUAGAUAACUAAAUAUCAUUUUCAGGCACCCACAAUCAUAUGUUAAUCAAAUGUCCAAAUCUCCUCUGACAACUUUUUGAUUUUUGCCUUCUCAAAAUCAAAUCCAAAUAUAGAAACAUAUAAGUAAAAAAAGAAUAUUUCAAGAUAUCUUUUACAUCAAAAUCCAUUUUGAGAUUCCCAGAGGGUCCCUGGAAAAUUGCAAAGAUUUGUUUUUUCACUUUAUAAGAAGAGAGGUACUAGAGAUAAUUAGCGUUUUUGAUAUGUUACUAUUAUAAAGUUUCAUGGGAAAAGUUGUCAAAUCAGAAGAGACAUUCAGUUAAAUUUGGGUAUUUAAAAUAUUUUAUUAAUGUAAUGAUUUCAGAAAUUAUAUGAUUUUGGAAAGUCCCUGGAGAUUUGUCAGUGACCUCGCAUUCUAUGUUUUAACUUCUGAGGGAACGUUGACCUAAACUCUGUGGAUUUUUUCCAUAUUCACCAGAAUCUUUGUGUUGCUUUGCCUGAUGAUACUAGACAACAACUGUAUGUUAUUAGUCAUAAUUUCCAUUAUUAUUUAAAAUAUGAACUUCAUCACAGACUUAAUUCUUUAAUUUGACUUUAAUAUAUUCUAUGCCACUGAUUUUCUUUUUUUCUUUUUUUUUGAGACAGUCUCACUCUGUCGCCCAGGCUGGAGUGCAGUGGGGUGAUCUUGGCUCACUGCAAGCUCCGCCUCCCAGGUUCAAGCGAUUCUCCUAACUCAGCCUCCCUAGUAGCUGGGAUUACAGCCUGGUGCCACCACGGCCGGCUAAUUUUUGUAUUUUUAAUAGAGACAGGGUUUCACCAUGUUGGCCAGGCUGGUCUCAAACUCCUGACCUCAAGUGAUCUGCCCACCUCAGCCUCCCAAAGUGCUGGGAUUACAAGCGUGAGCCACUGCACCCGGCCUGAUUUUCAAUUGGGGAUGCACCUCAAACUUACUUACGGAGUUAUAUAAAAAUACAGAUGUCUAGGACCGAUGCCAGAUUUACUGAAUCUCUUUUUAUUCUUGAUAUUUUCUUAGUAUAUGUUUGCUGUAAUCUUAGUAUAUUAUUAUAUUAUGUCUCGGUUAUUAUAUCUCAAGGCUUUUCCUCUCUAAAAUUAUGUUCUCCUAUUUUACAAAUCAGAUGUAACAUUCACUGACUCCUCUGAAAAUAGGCCUAAUCAUUCUUCUUAGAGACAUAUUGUCUGAAAGUUUAUCUCAGAAUGGCUUUAUCAUCUUGUUAGGUGUGCCACAGAAGCACUCAAAUGUCUCUGUGGGUUACAUUAUUCUUAUUAUUAACUCUCAUUAGACCUUUACGUUGGAAAAUUAUUUUAAUAAAUUAACCACAGACAUUUUCCAUUUUCUCUAUCAUUUAAGAUACAUUUGUUUUUUGUUGUUGUUGUUUUUGUUUCUGUUUGUUGUUUUUACUAUUUACUCUGAUGCUUGCCUGAAGAUUCUGCUAUCAGCUACAGGUCUGGGUUUGUGUCUCCGACAAAGAACCACCUCAAAGCCCCACAGAAAAGGACUGUACCGUAUACUUCAAACUAUUGACACCUCAAAGAACAGAGCUUGGGUUCAGGCUUCUGAUGCAUUCUGAGACACUCUCAGACCAUACCAGUGGGCUGGGUCAGGAUUUACAGAACUAUUUUCAUUUCAAGAGCAUACGGGCUCAUGAGAUUGCUAACUCAAGAUCCGGUGGAACAGAAAUACUUAUAUCGGACUGAAUAAACUGAUGAGGAAAAUCUUAUUGCAUUUAUUGGUAGAGAAUACUAUUGAUGUUUAAAUGUUCUCUUUUCCAUAUUUAAAAGCAAACAAGCACUUUCUUUUUCUUCUUAAACUCUCUGUAAUCCGUAAUGAUUUAGUAGACUCUGCUCUUUCUUUUUGUUUUUGUUUUGCUUUGUUUUUUGAGACGUAGUCUCACUUUGUUGCCCAUCUGGGGUGCAGUGGUGGGCUCUUGGCUCACUGCAACCUCUGCCUCCCGGGUUCAAGCAAUUCUGCCUCAGCCUCCCGAGCAGCUGGGACUACAGGCACCUGCCACCAUGCUCGGCUAAUUUUUGUAUUUUUAGUAGAGACGGGGUUUCACUCUGUUGGUCAGGCUGGUCUCGAACUCCUGACCUCAAGCAAUCCACCCGCCUCGGCCUCCCAAAGUGCUGGGAUUACAAGCGUGAGCCACAGCACCUGACCUGACUCUGCUCUUUUAUACUGAAAUGUAACAUUUUAAAAUGAUAUCUGAUUCUCCCCGAUUCCUCUGAAAUCAGAAAUUCUUAAGUGUCCUCACUUUUCACAUCAAUAUGCUUGUUUGUAUAUGUUCAGUAAAAAUCUGUCUUUUAAAAAAAUCAGAAUAUAAUUAGGAAAAUCAAAUAUACAAGCAAGGCCUUUCCUGCAAUGUCACAUUUGUGAAUAAUCUCAUUUAAUGGAACUUAAUGGGGCCAAUACUUAUAAGGUCUUCCCCCAAAAAAUGGCCUGGUGCCUCAUUCACAGAGUCCCAGCCUUACAGGAGUAAAGGCUUGACUGAGGCUGAAAGCUUCACGGCAGGACGGCUCACUUCUGCCUGUUGGCCAGAGACCACAGGGCCUCUUCAUGGGCAGCCUGGGUGUCCUCAUGACGUGGCAGCUGGAAUCGCCUACAUCCACUCAUCAAGGAAGAGAAGGCAAGGAGGAAGUUGCCAUCCUUUUUAUGAGCUAGUCUAAAAGUCACACUGUCACUUCUGCCUUAUUCUAUUUGUUAGAAAUGAAUCACUAAGGCCGGGCACUUGGUAGCUCAUGCCUAUAAUCCUAGCACUUUGGAAGGCCGAGGCAGGUGGAUCAC
rnacentral:lncRNA from 1 species